CCCGCCGGGGGCUCGCGCCAGCCACGAGGGAGCGUCCGCGGCUCGCGCGCCCGCGCCGUGGAGGAGAGGUUUUAAGUAUGAUGUUUCCAUAAUACAUUUGGAUGUUUUCAGCUAAGCUCACUUCUGAACUAUGGGGUUCCUCCAAAUGUUGACUGAAAUUUGUCCUUGUGCACCCCCAGGCUCAUCUGCAAAAUCUACAGUCCAUAAUGGAGCUACUGUACUGGCUAUUGGAAGAAGGAGAUUCUGAAGAUAGGGAGGAAAUUUGUGGAAUAUUUAGUCUUGUUGGACUAAACCUCAAGAUCCCUUCAAGUCUAAAGAAGAUUCUACAAAUACUAACAACCACGAAAUGAAAGGAACGCAAGUCCAGUGGUGGAUUUUUUGCAGACUUUAGCAGGCUCUGGCACCAUGCCUACCCCUCAGGAAUGUGCUGGAUGGGUCUACCAAUGUUUGUGGUAGGGCAACGUGACUCAUGGAAGGAUGAACCCCCCUAGAAGGCUUGGUGAGCUCAAGGAUGCCCUGACACUUCUUCAAGGGGAGGAAAAGAAAAUGGAAUCAUUGCUGUGAUUCACUUCUUCCACUUACCAUGAAGCGGUCUUGGGAUGGAGUGAAAGUAGACGCACAUAGUCAAUCUACCAUCUUUACCUGGAAGUCAAGCGUGAAUUUCAUUAUUUAAAUUAAGAUGAAGAUAAACUGAGGCACAGAAGAUUAAGUAAUUUUUCCAAAGAUUCAGAAAUAGAAAAUGACAGAACUUGGCUCCUUAACCACCAUAUGUAUUCUGACUACCUCCAACAAAUUGGAAGAUGGUGGCUUUUAGGGAACAAAGUUUGUCAUCCCGAUGCACCAGGUCUUUAAUGAUGUCAAUAAAGAAACAGCCCACCCUUUGGUUAAAAGACUCUUGAGCCUUCAAGGACCACUGGUUGUCCAGAGGAAGCCAUGGUUAUUCUGGUGAAGCACGAGGCCACGGUCGUUUUGAUCAGUCACUCAGUGGAGGGUCCAAAGCUUAAGCAGAAUAAACUCAGGACAGACAACACUGGAACUCUGGGAGUGUAACCUCACCAGCAGAUGAGGUAGUGAUGGAUGACUCCUGACUGUGGAGUCCUUUUCAUCUCUCAAUUUAUAUUCUGAGUUGUUACCUAGAAUAAAUCCUACUGUUUCUAAUUAA